rnacentral:tRNA from 1 species
GGGCCCAUAGCUCAGUUGGUUAGAGCCGCCGACUCAUAAUCGGCUGGUCCGGGGUUCGAGUCCCUGUGGGCCCACUA